UACGGAGGGUGCGAGCGUUGUUCGGAUUUAUUGGGUUUAAAGGGUGCGUAGGUGGCCCUGUAAGUCAGUGGUGAAAUCCAGCCGCUUAACGGUUGAGGUGCCAUUGAUACUGCAGGGCUUGAAACAAGUGGAGGCUGCCGGAAUGGAUGGUGUAGCGGUGAAAUGCAUAGAUAUCAUGCAGAACACCGAUUGCGAAGGCAGGUGGCUACGUUUGAAUUGACACUGAGGCACGAAAGCAUGGGGAGCAAACAGG
rnacentral:rRNA from 1 species